rnacentral:ncRNA from 17 species
AGACGAUACUCUGGAGAGACCAUAUAAGGCACCGAAGGAGCAAAUUUAAUUGAGAUCUUUAUAUAAAUAAAAAAGCUCAUCCCUUUUUUAGAUCAAGCGAUUAAAUGAAUCUCUCAGGUAAAAGGACAGAGAACUGAAU